rnacentral:misc_RNA from 1 species
UCUCCGUAGGUGAACCUGCGGAGGGAUCAUUACAGAGUGCAUGCCCUCCGGGUAGAUCUCCCACCCACUGCUAUCACUACUCUCGUUGCUUUGGCGGGCCGCUGGGCCCUACCCGGCCGCCGGCCCCGGCUGGCGCGUGCCCGCCAGAGACCUCACAGACUCUGAAUGUUAGUGUCGUCCGAGUAACUAUACAAUCGUUAAAACUUUCAACAACGGAUCUCUUGGUUCUG